UACGUAGGGGGGCAAGCGUUGUCCGGAAUCAUUGGGCGUAAAGCGCGCGUAGGCGGCCCGGUAAGUCCGCUGUGAAAGUCCAGGGCUCAACCCUGGAAAGCCGGUGGAUACUGCCGGGCUAGAGUCCGGAAGAGGCGAGUGGAAUUCCUGGUGUAGCGGUGGAAUGCGCAGAUAUCAGGAGGAACACCAAUAGCGAAGGCAGCUCGCUGGGACGGUACUGACGCUGAGGUGCGAAAGCGUGGGGAGCGAACAGG
rnacentral:rRNA from 1 species